rnacentral:rRNA from 1 species
GAUGAACGCUGGCGGCGUGCCUAAUACAUGCAAGUCGAGCGAACAGACGAGGAGCUUGCUCCUCUGACGUUAGCGGCGGACGGGUGAGUAACACGUGGAUAACCUACCUAUAAGACUGGGAUAACUUUGGGAAACCGGAGCUAGUACCGGAUAAUAUAUUGAACCGCAUGGUUCAAUAGUGAAAGACGGUUUUGCUGUCACUUAUAGAUGGAUCCGCGCCGCAUUAGCUAGUUGGUAAGGUAACGGCUUACCAAGGCGACGAUGCGUAGCCGACCGGAGAGGGUGAUCGGCCACACUGGAACUGAGACACGGUCCAGACUCCUACGGGAGGCAGCAGUAGGGAAUCUUCCGCAAUGGGCGAAAGCCUGACGGAGCAACGCCGCGUGAGUGAUGAAGGUCUUCGGAUCGUAAAACUCUGUUAUUAGGGAAGAACAAAUGUGUAAGUAACUAUGCACGUCUUGACGGUACCUAAUCAGAAAGCCACGGCUAACUACGUG